rnacentral:rRNA from 1 species
GGAUAAUCUACCCGACAGUCAGGGAUAACAUUUCGAAAGGAAUGCUAAUACCUGAUAAGCCUACGCCCUCUUCGGAGGAAGUAGGAAAAGGUGGGGACCUUCGGGCCUGCCGUUGUUGGAUGAGUCCGCGGCCCAUUAGCUAGCUGGUAGGGUAAUGGCCUACCAAGGCUACGAUGGGUAGCUGGUCUGAGAGGAUGAUCAGCCACACUGGAACUGAGACACGGUCCAG